CGAUUAGCUCUUUUAAGAGCUACCAAUAGAUUGAAAAAACAAUG
rfam:Anopheles farauti strain FAR1 cont2.2785, whole genome shotgun sequence.